rnacentral:rRNA from 1 species
CCUACGGGGGGCUGCAGUGGGGAAUAUUGCACAAUGGGCGCAAGCCUGAUGCAGCCAUGCCGCGUGUGUGAAGAAGGCCUUCGGGUUGUAAAGCACUUUCAGCGGGGAGGAAGGCGUUACGGUUAAUAACCUUGUCGAUUGACGUUACCCGCAGAAGAAGCACCGGCUAACUCCGUGCCAGCAGCCGCGGUAAUACGGAGGGUGCAAGCGUUAAUCGGAAUUACUGGGCGUAAAGCGCACGCAGGCGGUCUGUCAAGUCGGAUGUGCAAUCCCCGGGCUCAACCUGGGAACUGCAUUCGAAACUGGCAGGCUAGAGUCUUGUAGAGGGGGGUAGAAUUCCAGGUGUAGCGGUGAAAUGCGUAGAGAUCUGGAGGAAUACCGGUGGCGAAGGCGGCCCCCUGGACAAAGACUGACGCUCAGGUGCGAAAGCGUGGGGAGCAAACAGGAUUAGAUACCCGAGUAGUC